AUUGAACGCUGGCGGCAUGCUUUACACAUGCAAGUCGAACGGUAACAGGCCGCAAGGUGCUGACGAGUGGCGAACGGGUGAGUAAUGCAUCGGAACGUGCCCAGUCGUGGGGGAUAACGCAGCGAAAGCUGCGCUAAUACCGCAUACGAUCUAUGGAUGAAAGCGGGGGACCGUAAGGCCUCGCGCGAUUGGAGCGGCCGAUGUCAGAUUAGGUAGUUGGUGGGGUAAAGGCCUACCAAGCCAACGAUCUGUAGCUGGUCUGAGAGGACGACCAGCCACACUGGGACUGCGACACGGCCCAGACUCCUGCGGGAGGCAGCAGUGGGGAAUUUUGGACAAUGGGCGCAAGCCUGAUCCAGCAAUGCCGCGUGCAGGAAGAAGGCCUUCGGGUUGUAAACUGCUUUUGUACGGAACGAAAAGGCUCUGGUUAAUACCUGGGGCUCAUGACGGUACCGUAAGAAUAAGCACCGGCUAACUACGUGCCAGCCGCCGCGGUAA
rnacentral:rRNA from 1 species